ACCAGAAUACCAGCAAGCAGGAUUGAACGGCAUUGGCUUAUAGGAGCACAAUUUGAACAUUAUUCUCCUUCUCUAUUCAUUGGCUAUAUAAUUGUAGUUGUAUAGUACAUCAUAUGAUCUAUAGAAGCAAAGCUCUCCGUUUGUAUUCAUGACUACACUCAAGUUCUGCAAAGAAAGGGAGGCACUGGUAAUUUCCUCGGACCCUGGUUUACUGGAAUGAACUAUUUGGUGACCUGUGACCGCAUGAACGUACAUUCGCAUUAUGAGCAAGAAUUUCGCUAACUACAUUAAGGGGCAUGACCUUCGCGAGGUUCUCGAUGCUUUUGGUGAUUCUAUUUUUACUGUAGAUUCAGAUGCAUGGGAACACUACAGGGCACUUCAGCACUCAGUUUUCAAAACAAAAUGCUUCGAGAAGUUUCGGGAGAAGAUUGUUCGAGAGAAGGUGGAGAGUUGUUUGAUUCCUCUUCUUGAUCAUGUCGAGAAGUGAGGGGUUGAAGUGGAUGUGCAAGACGUUUUUGGUUGCUUCAACUUUGAUGCUGCUUGCGCUACAGUCUUAGGAUUUGAUCCAAAAAUCCUCACACUAGAUUUCCAAGAAGUUGCAUGCAUGAGAGCCUUUUGAUGAAGUAGGAGAGUUCAUAUUUUAGAGACACACAAUACCUAAAAGCAUCUGGAAGCUUCAGAGAUGGCUUGGAAUCGGACCAGAGAAGAAGAUGGCCCGAGCAUGUGCAGUGUUUGACCGAUUCCUCUAUGAAAGUAUAGCAUCAAAGAGAGAAAAGCUCCAAAAAAUCAACGGAAACGAGAGGAAACUGACAAUUUGCUAGCAUGUUUGAUGAGGGGGACGAAGGAAAAGAUGACGCGGAUGACAAGAUUCUAAGAGACAUUGCUUUUAGUCUUCUUUUUGCAGGUAGAGAUACCAUAACUUCAGCUCUCACAUGGUUCUUUUGGCUUGUUGCUACACACCCUUCAGUAGAAGCAAAGAUUCAUGAAGAGAUCAAAGAAGAAAAGGAAGUGAAAGAUCAAGUAUAUCUCCAUGCUGCUUUGUGUGAACGUUUGAGAUUGUAUCCUCCCGUACCUUUGGUUCUUAGGCAAACGAUCAAACAUGAUAUUCUUCCUAGUGGGCAUGAGAGACGAUGCUACAAAGACCCCCUCCUUAAAGACAGGCCUAUAUUCGGAAUGCUACCACCAGCUCUCAGCAAUUUAGGUCAGAUUCAUGACUAUAUGACUCAGGCUCUUCAAAGAAAAGAGGGUACAGGGAGCUUCGUUGGACCUUGGUUUACUGGAAUGAACGGUUUGGUGACUUGCAACCCCAUGAACGUACAUCACAUGAUGAGUAAGAAUUUCGCCAACUACAUAAAAGGUCCAGAAUUUCAUGAGAUUUUUGAACCUUUCGGGGAAGGGAUUUUCACUGCAGAUUCAGACACAUGGAAGUAUCACAGGGCACUUCUCCAUUCCUUGUUUAAAACCCCAAGCUUCGAGAAGUUUCUGGAAAAGAUCGUUCGAGAGAAGGUGGAUUUCUGUCUUUCUCCUCUUCUUGAUCAUCUAGAAAGGCAGGGAAUUGAAGUGGAUCUGCAAGACGUGUUCAAUCGCUUCAACUUCGAUAUUAUUUUCUCCAUGGUCUUAGGAUCUGAUCCCAAAAGCCUUGCGGUUGAUUUCCCAAAAGUUACAUGUGAGAGAGCUUUCAAUGAGGCUGAGGAGUUUAUAUUCUACAGAUACUCAGUACCUAGAUGCAUCUGGAAACUUCAGAGAUGGCUUCGAGUUGGAGCAGAGAAGAAGAUGGCUGAAGUAUGUCAAUUGUUUGACCAAUUCCUCUAUGAAAGUAUAGCAUCAAAGAGAGAAGAGCUUAGAAAAAACAAUGAAAUGAAGAAAACAGAGGAGGACUUGCUGACAACUUUGAUGAGGGAGGAACAAGGUAAAGAACAUGUGAAUGACAAGUUUCUAAGAGACACUGCUUUUAAUCUUUUUGUCGCAGGUAGAGACACCAUAACUUCAGCUCUCACGUGGUUCUUUUGGCUUGUCGCUACACACCCUUCAGUGGAAGCCAAGAUUCUUGAAGAAACCAAAGAAGAAAAGGAAAUGAAACAUCAAGUGUAUCUCCAUGGUGCUCUGUGUGAAUCUCUGAGACUGUUCCCUCCAAUACCUUUUGAGCACAAGCAAGCGACCAAACACGACUCCCUUCCUAGUGGACAUGAGGUUUAUCCUGGUACUAUGAUAUUUUUAUCUUUGUACGCAAUGGGAAGGUGAGAGAAAAUGUGGGGAAAAGAUUGCUUGGAAUUCAAACCGGAGAGGUGGAUCUCAGAAAGAAGACGUGUCGUUCACAUACCUUCAUACAAGUUCCUUAGUUUCAACGCCGGACCAAGAACUUGUUUGGGUAAUGACUUGUCUUUCCUUCAAAUGAAGAUAAUGGCGACUUUUAUUUUGAAGAAUUAUCAAGUUCAUGUGGCGGAAGAUCAUCCCGGUUUCUCCAGCCCUUUCAAUAGUGCUUCUGAUGAAGUAUGGUCUCAAAGUUCGAAUCAUAUCAAGAUGAUGGAGUACGGGUAACAUUUACUCAUUCCCUUCAAGUGGUGUGCUGAAACUGCGUUGAUUGCAUGUGUAAAUUACUAUAUUUGAUUUGGAUGUUCAACUAUUUUUAAUAUAUGUAUUACUUAUAGGAAGU